rnacentral:rRNA from 1 species
GAAGCUGAGUAAGGGCACACGGAGGAUGCCUAGGCGGCGGGAGCCGAAGAAGGACGUGCUAAGCUGCGAAAAGCCCGGAGGAGGUGCACAGGACCUGUGAUGCCGGGAUAUCCGAAUGGGAGAACCUGCAUACCUGGAGGGUAUGCGCGAGAGAGGUAAGCCGGCGAACUGAAACAUCUAAGUAGCCGGAGGAAAAGAAAGUAAAAACGAUUCCCUGAGUAGCGGCGAGCGAACGGGGAGGAGCCUAAACCGUAUAUGUGUUAAAGCUGGCGGCGUUGCAUAUACGGGGUAGAGGGAACAUACUGGACUGAAGCCAUAAGGUCGAGUUGGUCAUGAUGUAAGCGGAACGCGGCUGGAAAGCCGGACCGUAGGAGGUGAGAGUCCUGUAUAGCGUAAAGUCAUGACGGCUUGUAUGGAAUCCCGAGUAGCAUCGGACACGAGGAAUCCGGUGUGAAUCAGCGUGGACCAUAUCACGUAAGGCUAAAUACUUCCGCCGACCGAUAGAGGAGAGUACCGUGAGGGAAAGGUGAAAAGAACCCUGAGCAAGGGAGUGAAAUAGAAUUUGAAACCGUGUGCUUACAAGCGGUAGGAGCCCUUAGGGGUGACUGCGUGGAUUUUGGUUAAUCAUCCUGCGAGUUAUGAUGUGUGGCAAGGUUAAGUGUAAGCGGAGCCGAAGGGAAACCGAGUCUUAAUAGGGCGAGAGUCGCAUGUCAUAGACGCGAAACCUAGUGAUCUAGGCCUGUCCAGGCUGAAGCUGAGGUAAGACUCAGUGGAGGGCCGAACUCACCGCCGUUGAAAAGUUGGGAGAUGAGAUAGGUCUAGGGGUGAAAAGCCAAUCGAACUAGGAGAUAGCUCGUUCUCUCCGAAAUGCAUUUAGGUGCAGCCUUGGUUGAAGAUAUGCGGGGGUAGAGCACUGUAUGGCCUAGGGGGCGUAUAGCUUACCGAAGUCAAGCAAACUGCGAAUACCGUAUAUUGUUUACCAGGAGUGAGUCUACGGAUGACAAGGUCCGUGGACGAGAGGGGAACAGCCCGGACCGCCGGCUAAGGUCCCAAAUCAUGUCUAAGUGGGAAAGGAGGUGGAUAUUCACAGACAACCAGGAGGUUGGCUUAGAAGCAGCCAUACCUUGAAAGAGUGCGUAAUAGCUCACUGGUCGAGAGUAUCUGCGCCGAAGAUAUAACGGGGCUAAGACAUGAACCGAAGCCGCGGAAGCGUGGUAACACGUUUGGUAGGAGAGCGUUCUGUAGGCCGUAGAAGGUGUCCUGAAAGGGAUGCUGGAGGUAUCAGAAGUGAGAAUGCAGGAAUGAGUAGCGAGAAGGAGGGCGAGAAUCCCUCCGGCCGGAAGUCCAAGGUUUCCAGGGGAAGGUUUGUCCGCCCUGGGGGAGUCGGGACCUAAGCAUAAGCAGAGCUGCGAAGGCGAAUGGAAAACAGGUUAAUAUUCCUGUACCGCUGUGUACUGACUGAGAGAUGGAGUGACGCAGGAAGGUAUGCGGGAAGGCUGACGGAAUAGCCUUUCUAAGGGUGAAGCGUGGACAUAUAGGCAAAUCCGUAUGUUUAAACGUGAGGCCUGACGGGUAAGUGCCAUAGGGCAUAAGCCGCAGAUCCUACACUGCCGGGAAAAACUUCUAUUUAGGGAAGCAGCGCCCGUACUGUAAACCGACACAGGUGGACAGAGUGAGAAACUUAAGGCCGACAGGACAACUCUGGCUAAGGAACUCUGCAAAAUGGCCCCGUAACUUAGGGAGAAGGGGUGCCCGUGCUACCUGAAGGGGGAGACACCCGGAGGGGAAGCGGGCCGCAGUGAAGAGUCCCAAGCAACUGUUUACCAAAAACACAGGUCUAUGCUAAGCCGGAAGGCGACGUAUAUGGGCUGACACCUGCCCAGUGCCGGAAGGUUAAGAGGAGGAUUGAGAGAUUCGAAUUGAAGCCCCGGUGAACGGCGGCCGUAACUAUAACGGUCCUAAGGUAGCGAAAUUCCUUGUCGGGUAAG